rnacentral:lncRNA from 1 species
CAGAGUAGAGAGGGAGGGAGGGAAGAGGAGAUCUAAGGUCAGGUUGCCGGGCUCAGGGAGGGCUGGGGAUCGGGGGCGGAUCUAAGGUCAGGUUGCCAGCUCAGGGAGGGCUGGUGGGGUAGGCUGAGCUGGCUGGGGCCUCAGUGAGGUAGGGCUGGCAAGGGGAGCUAGAAUGUUCUGGGCUGGGGGUGGGGGAUAAAGUGAGGGGCAGGGCCACCUGAGAUGAGAUAGGAAGCAUGGGGGAGGUGCAGCUGGGGGGCAGGCAGCCUUAUUUAACACAAGCCAGGGGAGAGAAGUGGGCAGGCGUCCCUGACUUUGUAGCCUGCAAAUGAAAACUUGGGCCUUAGGCUCCACGACAGGAUAGACUCUUGAUGAGGACUGGGCGUCCUUAGGUGGGCGUGGGCUUCCAGGACCCCCCUACUCACAGCCUCCUCAGCCUGCCUCUUGUAAGCCUUCACUUUGGCUUGCAGCUUGUUCACCAGAUCCUGGAGCCUGAGGAUGUUCUUGUGGUCCUCCUCGGCCUGCAAACAUAGCAUCGUGCCACCGCCACCGCAGCUUAUGCCGGGGUCGGAGCAACCUGGAGCUCACGGAGGCUUUGGAGACACCUACCUGGAGAGAGCGUGGUGGAACCCUUUGUGUGAGGUCUUGGCACGACCCAGGCGUAUUGCCCCACCUGAACCAUGCUGAGGGAGGAGUGGCCAGAACGCUAAGUCUUCACCAA